ACUUGCUUCAGCAGGAUAUUUACUGAAAUUGGAACAAUACAGAGAAAACUAGCAUUGCCUAUGCACAAAGAUGACAUGCAAAUUUGUGAAGCAUUCUAUAUUUUU